rnacentral:rRNA from 1 species
GUCCAGACUCCUACGGGAGGCAGCAGUGGGGAAUAUUGCACAAUGGGGGAAACCCUGAUGCAGCGACGCCGCGUGAGUGAAGAAGUAUUUCGGUAUGUAAAGCUCUAUCAGCAGGGAAGAUAAUGACGGUACCUGACUAAGAAGCCCCGGCUAACUACGUGCCAGCAGCCGCGGUAAUACGUAGGGGGCAAGCGUUAUCCGGAUUUACUGGGUGUAAAGGGUGCGUAGGUGGCAUGGCAAGUCAGAAGUGAAAGCCCGGGGCUCAACCCCGCGGACUGCUUUUGAAACUGUCAGGCUGGAGUACAGGAGAGGUAAGCGGAAUUCCUAGUGUAGCGGUGAAAUGCGUAGAUAUUAGGAGGAACACCAGUGGCGAAGGCGGCUUACUGGACUGUAACUGACACUGAGGCACGAAAGCGUGGGGAGCAAACAGGAUUAGAUACCCGCUAC